rfam:Schistosoma curassoni strain Dakar, Senegal genome assembly, scaffold: SCTD_scaffold0001526
ACCCAGCUGACGAGUCCCGAACAGGACGAAACGCGCGUCCUGGAU